UACGUAGGUGGCAAGCGUUGUCCGGAGUUAUUGGGCGUAAAGCGCGCGCAGGCGGUUGGCUAAGUCCAUGGUGAAAGCGCCUGGCUCAACUAGGCGAGUGCCGUGGGGACUGUUCAGCUGGAGUGGAGCAGAGGCGAGUGGAAUUCCGGGUGUAGUGGUGAAAUGCGUAGAGAUCCGGAGGAACACCGAAGGCGAAGGCAGUGUCCUGGCGCGUAACUGACGCUGAGGUGCGAAAGCCAGGGGAGCGAACGGG
rnacentral:rRNA from 1 species